rfam:Beta vulgaris subsp. vulgaris chromosome 6, whole genome shotgun sequence.
AAAUCGUGAUGAGGACAAAGGAUUUGGAGUUGAAUCUUUCCCAAGCCUCAUCGAAUGACUCUCCAGGAUCUUGGGUGAAAGCCACGAUCUCAUGACGCAUAU